rnacentral:rRNA from 1 species
CAAUAGCGUAUAUUAAAGUUGUUGCAGUUAAAAAGCUCGUAGUUGGAUUUCUGGUGGGAGCGAUCGGUCUGGCGCUUAGCGCGAGUACUUGCAUCGUCUCCGGCCAUCCUUGGGGAGAGUCUGUCUGGCAUUAGGUUGUCGGGCAGAGGAUCCUCAUCGUUUACUGUGAAAAAAUUAGAGUGUUCAAAGCAGGCUUAUGCCGUUGAAUAUAUUAGCAUGGAAUAAUAAGAUAGGACUUUGGUACUAUUUUGUUGGUUUGCGCACCAAAGUAAUGAUUAAUAGGGACAGUUGGGGGUAUUCGUAUUCCGUUGUCAGAGGUGAACUUCUUGGAUUUACGGAAGACGAACUACUGCGAAAGCAUUUACCAAGGAUGUUUUCAUUAA